rnacentral:rRNA from 1 species
AUUGAACGCUGGCGGCAUGCCUUACACAUGCAAGUCGAACGGUAACGCGGGGCAACCUGGCGACGAGUGGCGAACGGGUGAGUAAUACAUCGGAACGUGCCCAGUAAUGGGGGAUAGCCCGGCGAAAGCCGGAUUAAUACCGCAUACGACCUAAGGGUGAAAGAGGGGGAUCGCAAGACCUCUCGUUAUUGGAGCGGCCGAUGGCAGAUUAGGUAGUUGGUGGGGUAAAGGCCUACCAAGCCGACGAUCUGUAGCUGGUCUGAGAGGACGACCAGCCACACUGGGACUGAGACACGGCCCAGACUCCUACGGGAGGCAGCAGUGGGGAAUUUUGGACAAUGGACGCAAGUCUGAUCCAGCAAUGCCGCGUGCGGGAAGAAGACCUUCGGGUUGUAAACCGCUUUUGUCAGGGAAGAAAUCUUCUGGGUUAAUACCUCGGGAGGAUGACGGUACCUGAAGAAUAAGCACCGGCUAACUACGUGCCAGCAGCCGCCGUAAGAC